GACGAACGCUGGCGGCGUGCUUAACACAUGCAAGUCGUACGGAAAGGCCCUGCUUUUGUGGGGUGCUCGAGUGGCGAACGGGUGAGUAACACGUGAGUAACCUGCCCUUGACUUUGGGAUAACUUCAGGAAACUGGGGCUAAUACCGGAUAGGAGCUCCUGCUGCAUGGUGGGGGUUGGAAAGUUUCGGCGGUUGGGGAUGGACUCGCGGCUUAUCAGCUUGUUGGUGGGGUAGUGGCUUACCAAGGCUUUGACGGGUAGCCGGCCUGAGAGGGUGACCGGCCACAUUGGGACUGAGAUACGGCCCAGACUCCUACGGGAGGCAGCAGUGGGGAAUAUUACACAAUGGGCGGAAGCCUGAUGCAGCAACGCCGCGUGCGGGAUGACGGCCUUUGGGUUGUAAACCGCUUUCGCCUGUGACGAAGCGUGAGUGACGGUAAUGGGUAAAGAAGCACCGGCUAACUACGUG
rnacentral:rRNA from 1 species